rnacentral:rRNA from 1 species
GAUGAACGCUGGCGGCGUGCUUAACACAUGCAAGUCGAACGGAGCUUAUUAAGAAAGCGGAGCUUGCUCCAAUGGAUUUUUAAGCUUAGUGGCGGACGGGUGAGUAACGCGUAUCCAACCUGCCCCGAGGUCAGGGACAGCCCGGCGAAAGUCGGAUUAAUACCUGAUGGUCUCUUUUGAUGGCAUCUGAUGAGGAGUAAAGAUUCAUCGCCUUGGGAUGGGGAUGCGUAGGAUUAGGCAGCAGGCGGGGUAACGGCCCACCUGGCCAUCGAUCCUUAGGGGUUCUGAGAGGAAGGUCCCCCACACUGGUACUGAGACACGGACAAGACUCC